GUACUGCUGAAGAAUCCCAGACUAGGGCGAAACAGCUGUCCAGUAC
rfam:Trichobilharzia regenti genome assembly, scaffold: TRE_scaffold0035212